UGUCGCAUCACUGCACCAAUACAUAAUACAUCUAAUGUAUGCAAAUCAGGUCUUUAUUUAGUGUUUAGUUUAUUUAUAAAACUUUGGCGAGAAAAGUGUAACGUUUUACAUUUUUAUUUGCCAUCAUUCACCUUAAUAAUCGCGGCAGUAGUUUAUUAUUUAUUCUAUCAAUUUUUAACCUACACGAGUCUUGUAACUCUUAUUUACUUAUGUUAUAAAAUUCCCUGAUAAUAAUAUGCUAAUAUUGGGUAAAAAUAGACUUAGAAGCAGAAUGGUUAAUGUUAGAUCUUACUGUUUACAAUUCAAAUUAGAUAUGUUUUUAUGAGCUGUCUACAAUAUGCUUUAUAAACUGAAUAGUGCAGUUUAAAUAAAAUUUUCAGGUUUUUAUUGUUUUAACUUUUAUCUAAGAUAAUGCGGUCUACCAAACAUUCUUUUAGAGGAUAAAACUCCACUUAUAGCAUCUAUUGAUUAUCUCAAUUUAUUUUAACAAGACAUUAUGUUCGUGAAAAUAAAAUACAUGAAACAGGCUCAAUAAUAUUAUAUAAGUAAUUAUCUGGUUUCACUUUUAACGUGUAGUUGUUAUUAUGAUUUUUUCUUAUAAACUUGCUAUUUAUUAAUAAGGAUUUGAUGUGCAUUUCUAUUUAAUUAUCCAGGAGGAGUAACGUACCGUAAAGUCGGGGGACUUUGACUCACUUUGUUAUACUUUUUUUUUGUAAAAAUAAAUAUAACAAAAUUAACUUAAAAUUUUUUUUAAUGUAUGCAAAAACCUACAUAUAUGACGAAGUAACACAUUCUUCUUCCAUUUCACACAUAUUUAAAAAAUAUUUUAUACGACGAGCGAAAUAUUUAAAUUUUGAAGGUCAUAUAAUUUGUCCUGCAGCGUAGGUUCAUAAAUGUAUUUCGGGUGUCUACUCUUUGCUCUAUUUUUAUGAUCGAAAAGCAUUCGAAUAAUUUGGGUUUUAUUUUAAGGUACGAUCUGUUUUGAGCGAGUAGUCGGGGCGAUUAGACGAGACGUUUAAUCGUGUCAUUAGGUUAAAUAGCCAUAUCAUAGAAAUGGUCUGGUUUAGGCGACAAGUCGAAACAAGUCGCCACAAGACGACGCGUCUUUAAGCAAAAUUGGUCGUCAGGCAAAGUAAACGCGCGCGUUUGUUAAAUCCUUAGAACAUUGAAAGGCUAGAAUUAGUAAACAACAACUUUGUUUGAGUCCAACAUGUGCACAGGGGCAAGAGGAGUGUUUUGUUUACAAACAUAUUUGCCGAUUCUCUGUUGUCAAGUCGACGCAAAUUUCCAACGGAGGAAAUUUUUAGCUAUAUUUUAACAACCAUUAUAACGUUAAUUUAACUUAUUUGUGUUGUAUUUUAUAGAAAAAUUUAAAAUAAAAAGUAUAAAUACUACAAUUAACCUAUUUUAGCAAUAAAUAUAAUAUCCUUAAGCAAAAAAUAAACAAAAUUAUUAACAUUCUUAUCCCCAAAACGGCUUCUAAAAAAUUUGAAGCGACAACACCGGAGCUUUAGCGCCUGAGCCAUACGCGUAGUGUCAUCUGUCAAACGGCUUUUUGUUUAUUUUGGGGAUUCGUGUAUUUUCUUUAAUUUUUAGUUUAAAAAGGAAAAAGGCCACAUUUUAGUGUUUUUUUAAAUUGCUAGGAUGGCAAAAACUUGUGUCGUUUGUGCCGCAUCAUGAUAAAAAGGUAAUUCAAGCCGAUCCUCUCACAAAUUGCCUAAUAUAUGCCCAAAGGGAACAAUGGAUUUCAUUAAUGGAAAUCAACACAAUUAAAAAGAACAUAUUUGUUUGUUCAGAUCACAUCCUUAGAAGUGAUUUCUUAUAUAAGGGAGAUAAUAUUAUCAGUAGCCAGACUUUAUUAAAAAAAUCAGCUCUACCUUAAAGGAUUUCUGAUGCACUGGUUAAAAACACAGCAGCCGAUAAUUCAGUUAAUUUACCAAGUGAUUUACCCUUCAAACCUGCAGGGGUAGUUUUCUUGAAGAGUGCAAAAACUUCUUUAGAUUCCAAAAUGGUAUAUAGUACAAAUAGUGAAGCUAAUAUACACAAAUCUGAUCAUUCAUCAACAAUAACUGCAUCUGAGAUUAAUUGUUACCGUCUAGGUCUAGGUCAACAAUUACUAUUUCUCAUCCAAGCCGUUUUUGUUUAACUGCUAUACAUUCGCUGACUCUGCCAAGGAAAAGGGUAAAAUCAAAAUAAUAUCCUGAGGACCUAAGCACUGAUGAUUCCACCGUUUCAAAAGCUAAAUCACUUGUCACCAAAUUAUGGAAAAAAAAAAGAACAAAAAAUUAAAAUUCGACGAUUGCAACAAACAAAUUUGCGCCAAAGAAAUUGAAUUAGAUGUCUCAAGUCAUUAUUAAAAUACUUAAGAAAUAAUAACAUGAUUUUCGAAAAAGCCCAACAUACUACAUAUUUUAUUUGACUUGUAAAAGUACUUGUUUGAAUAUUACUACUAAUAAACUAUCAAAUCUAAUCUAUUGUACAUAG